CAUGUAUUACCUCUGUCCCAAAUUAGUCGUCUUAGAUUUGUCUAGAUAUGGAUGUAUCCAACACUAAGAUGUGUCUAGAUACAUCCGCAUCUAGACAAAUCUAAGUCAACUAAUUCGGGAUGGAGGGAGUAUAUC
rfam:Triticum aestivum genome assembly, contig: Triticum_aestivum_CS42_TGACv1_scaffold_221826_3B